GACGGAAGGUGCAAGCGUUGCUCGGAAUCACUGGGCGUAAAGCGCACGUAGGCGGAUUGCUAAGUCAGGGGUGAAAUCCUGGAGCUCAACUCCAGAACUGCCUUUGAUACUGGCGAUCUUGAGUCCGGGAGAGGUGAGUGGAACUGCGAGUGUAGAGGUGAAAUUCGUAGAUAUUCGCAAGAACACCAGUGGCGAAGGCGGCUCACUGGCCCGGUACUGACGCUGAGGUGCGAAAGCGUGGGGAGCAAACAGG
rnacentral:rRNA from 1 species